rnacentral:rRNA from 1 species
GACGAACGCUGGCGGCGUGCUUAACACAUGCAAGUCGAACGGAAAGGCCCUGCUUUUGUGGGGUGCUCGAGUGGCGAACGGGUGAGUAACACGUGAGUAACCUGCCCUUGACUUUGGGAUAACUUCAGGAAACUGGGGCUAAUACCUGCUAGGAGCUCCUGCUGCAUGGUGGGGGUUGGAAAGUUUCGGCGGUUGGGGAUGGACUCGCGGCUUAUCAGCUUGUUGGUGGGGUAGUGGCUUACCAAGGCUUUGACGGGUAGCCGGCCUGAGAGGGUGACCGGCCACAUUGGGACUGAGAUACGGCCCAGACUCCUACGGGAGGCAGCAGGGGGGAAUAUGGCACAAUGGGCGGAAGCCUGAUGCAGAAACGCCGCGUGCGGGAUGACGGCCUUCGGGUUGUAAACCGCUUUCGCCUGUGACGAAGCGUGAGUGACGGUAAUGGGUAAAGAAGCACCGGCUAACUACGUG